UACGGAGGGUGCGAGCGUUAAUCGGAUUUACUGGGCGUAAAGCGUGCGCAGGCGGCCCGUUAAGACAGGUGUGAAAUCCCUGGGUUCAACCUAGGAAUUGCGCUUGUGACUGGCGGGCUCGAGUACGGUAGAGGGGGGUGGAAUUCCUGGUGUAGCAGUGAAAUGCGUAGAGAUCAGGAGGAACACCGAUGGCGAAGGCAGCCCCCUGGGCCUGUACUGACGCUCAUGCACGAAAGCGUGGGGAGCAAACAGG
rnacentral:rRNA from 1 species